rnacentral:rRNA from 1 species
GAUGAACGCUAGCUACAGGCUUAACACAUGCAAGUCGCGGGGCAGCAUGGGGGUUGCUUGCAAUCCCCGAUGGCGACCGGCGCACGGGUGAGUAACGCGUAUCCAACCUGCCCUUCACCACGGGAUAACCCGGCGAAAGUCGGACUAAUACCGUAUGUUGUCCAUUGACGGCAUCCGAUUUGGACGAAAGGUUUGGCGGUGAAGGAUGGGGAUGCGUCCGAUUAGCUGGACGGCGGGGUGACGGCCCACCGUGGCGACGAUCGGUAGGGGUUCUGAGAGGAAGCUCCCCCACACUGGAACUGAGACACGGUCCAGACUCCUACGGGGGGCAGCAGUGAGGAAUAUUAGUCAAUGGGCGUAAGCCUGAACCAGCCAAGUAGCGUGCAGGAUGACGGCCCUAUGGGUUGUAAACUGCUUUUAUGCGGGGAUAAAGUGGCCCACGUGUGGGUUUUUGCAGGUACCGCAUGAAUAAGGACCGGCUAAUUCCGUG